rnacentral:rRNA from 1 species
GAUGAACGCUGGCGGCGUGCCUAAUACAUGCAAGUCGACCGAACAGACGAUUAGCUUGCCCCUCUGACGUUAGCGGCGGACGGGCCAGUAACCCGUGCAUACCUACCCAUAAGACUACGAAAACUUCUGCAAACCGGUCCUAAUACCGGAUAAUCUAUUAAACAGCAUGGUUCAAUAGUUAUAGACGGUUUUUCCGUCACUUAUACAUGGAUCCGCGCCGCAUUGUCUAGUUGGUAAGGUCACGUCUCACCAAGGCAACGAUGCGUAGCCGACCUGAGAGGAUGAUGAGCCAGACUGGAAGGGAGACAGGGACCAGAAGGAUAGGGGCAGGACCAGUAGGGAAUCUUGCGCAAUGGGCGGAAGACUGACGGAAAAACGCCGAGAGAGUGAUGCAGGUCUUCGGAUCGUAAAACUCAGUUAUUAGGAAAGAAAAAAUGUGUAAGUAAGUAUGAACGUAAUGACGGUACCUAAACAGAAAGCGACGGCUAAAUACGUG